GCCAAAUUUUCGUUGUAGUUGAUUCAGAAACCUCUUCUUUUCUUGCUUUUAAAACUUGCUGUAAAAUCUUUCUUUGUAACAGAAUCGCCAUUAUUCAUUAUUUUUGGAAAACUAAGAUUUUAAACUUGAAAAACUUUGCGAGUUUCUGACCGAUUUUCUUGCAUGAUACACCGUUGAAAAGCUCGAAUUUCACGUUCUAUUUUCGUAUCCGUUGCUAGGCAACCCAAUAAACACGUGCUCAAAUAUCAUGCCCGCAAGUUAAGGUGUCAUGCCAGGGCGCAUUCGGGCGCAUUGUCCGUUACCCACUUGUCAAUCUCAGGGCGCAUACGGGCGCAUUGGGCGUUAAUGAGUUAAAGUUUGCUGACAGGGUUCAACGAAUGCCAACGUCGAAGCUAACCAGUUAUUUCCAUACCUUUGGUGCAGCAGGAGUUACGCAGUCAAGAGUGACAACAACUUCAAUUGUAAGAAGAGCAAAGCGAGGUAAAAUCCAUGUUCAACCAGAAGCAGUGAAACGCAGGAAAUUAGAGUCCGGAAGUAGAGCAAAGCAACCAAAAGGGCAAAUUUCAAAAAAGAAUCCAUUUUUAUUGAAGGCCGGAAAAGCAAAACGGCUUCAUCAAUUUGCUCACAAUGUUAGACAAAACUAGCCUGUAUCAAAGAAGGCCGGCAGAUCCAUGUCUACUAAAACCCGAUGCUGUGAAUCAACAGAUAUUUGCGAUCGACUAGAAAAAUAGAGCUGAAAAAUAAACUACAGUUUUUUCAGCAUGAAUUUAAAAUGACAAAUAGUAACAUUGCAAUAUAAUCACUAAUCAGUACUAUUUUAAUUAUUAUAAAAUGCAAAUGUAUAUAGC